CUAGGAAUCUUGCGCAAUGGACGAAAGUCUGACGCAGCGACACCGCGUGUAAGAAGACGCUUUUCGGAGUGUAAAUUACUGUGGCAGGGGAUGAAUUUUGACAGUACCCUGCUAGAAAGCACCUGCUAACUACGUGCCAGAAGCCUCGGUAAUACGUAGGGUGCAAGCGUUAUCCGGAUUUACUGGGCGUAAAGCGUACCGUCGGCGUCUUGUUUAGUCUUUAGUUUAAACCCAGGGCUCAACUCUGGAAGGGCUAAAGAUACUGGCAGGAUAGAGUCUAUUAGGGGGAGCUGGAAUUCUCGGUGGAGGGGUGAAAUCCGUAGAUAUCGAGAGGAACACCAUUCGCGAAGGCGGGCUCCUGGAAUAUGACUGACGCUCAGGGACGAAAGCUUGGGUAGCA
rnacentral:rRNA from 1 species